AUUGAACGCUGGCGGCAUGCCUUACACAUGCAAGUCGAACGGCAGCGCGGACUUCGGUCUGGCGGCGAGUGGCGAACGGGUGAGUAAUGUAUCGGAACGUACCUUUCAGUGGGGGAUAACGUAGCGAAAGUGACGCUAAUACCGCAUAUUCUGUGAGCAGGAAAGCAGGGGAUCGCAAGAGCUUGCGCUGAUUGAUCGGCCGAUAUCAGAUUAGCUCGGUGGUGAGGGAAAGGCACACCAAGGCGACGAUCUGUAGCGGGUCUGAGAGGAUGAUCCGCCACACUGGAACUGAGACACGGUCCAGACUCCUACGGGAGGCAGCAGUGGGGAAUUUUGGACAAUGGGGGCAACCCUGAUCCAGCCAUGCCGCGUGAGUGAAGAAGGCCUUCGGGUUGUAAAGCUCUUUCGGCCGGGAAGAAAUCGUACGGGUUAAUACCCUGUGCGGAUGACGGUACCGGCAUAAGAAGCACCGGCUAACUACGUGCCAGCAGCCGCGGUAAGAC
rnacentral:rRNA from 1 species